GGUCCCAUCGUCUAGUGGCCUAGGACACUGGCCUCUCACGCCGGUAACACGGGUUCGAAUCCCGUUGGGACCACCA
rnacentral:tRNA from 1 species